rnacentral:rRNA from 1 species
GAUCAUGGCUCAGGAUGAACGCUAGCUACAGGCUUAACACAUGCAAGUCGAGGGGCAGCAUGAACUUAGCUUGCUAAGUUUGAUGGCGACCGGCGCACGGGUGAGUAACACGUAUCCAACCUGCCGAUGACUCGGGGAUAGCCUUUCGAAAGAAAGAUUAAUACCCGAUGGCAUAAUUCCUCCGCAUGGUAGAACUAUUAAAGAAUUUCGGUCAUCGAUGGGGAUGCGUUCCAUUUAGG